rnacentral:rRNA from 1 species
UUUUAACGGCCGCGGUAUCAUAACCGUGCAAAGGUAGCGUAAUCACCUGUCUCCUAAUUAGAGACCUGUAUGAACGGCCCACUGAGGGCCCAACUGUCUUCUGUCACCAACCAAUGAAACUGAUCUUUCAGUAAAAAAGCUGAAAUAAAUACACAAGACGAGAAGACCCUGUGGAGCUUCAAACCCAUUGCUAUCUAACUAAANUCUUCCCCCGGGGCACACCCAGACACACAUAGCAGAUAGUUUUUAGUUGGGGCGACUGCGGAGAGAAAAAAAACCUCCAUGAAAAACUGCGCCAGGCCAACAAGCCAAACAUGUAACUUAAUCUUGACCCAGUAAUACUGCCAAUCGAACCAAGUUACCCCAGGGAUAACAGCGCCAUCCUCUUCAAGAGUCCCUAUCGCCAAGAGGGUUUACGACCUCGAUGUUGGAUCAGGGCCCCCAAGUGGUGAAGCCGCUACUAAAGGUUCGUUUGUUCAACGAUUAAAGCCCUA